rnacentral:lncRNA from 1 species
GUUCCAUGAAAAGUAUUAUCUAUCAAUAUAUGCCCUUAUUACUCAGGAAGCAAAUGGAAUGACUGGCUUUCAGAAGGUGAGAUCAGAGAGAACAUUCAAGUUGGUUGCCCAGGAAUUAAGGACCGGGGGAAACGGCUGUUCACUUCCACCUCUGGCCCCCUGGACUCUCCUGAAGUACACAACUCUGACCACAGAGCUUUGCAGAGUAUAUGGCACCUAUGAGGAACUCACUCAAGGCAUCCUGCACAAAGAAUAUCAUUGUGUUUCCCAAACUGUCACUGGCUUCCUAUUGCUUAUGAAAUAAAAUCGAUGCGCUUUAUCCCAGUGGAUUAAAUUAAAUACUAAAUUGCCUUUCGAACAUUGCCUCUCACCUUUUGGUCUUGAAAUUUUUGUUCACAACUCUCCUAAAAGAAUGUUUAAAAACCAUUUAUAACCUCAUCCAUUUUUAAGUUGGUAUUGAACAAAUUUUACUGUGGGUUUAAAAAGUUACAAAAAUGUAAUUCUAAAUAUUAUGUCUUUAAUAAACAUAAUAAUUUACCAUA